UACGUAGGGGCCGAGCGUUGUCCGGAGUUAUUGGGCGUAAAGCGCGCGCAGGCGGCCUCGCGCGCCCGACGUGAAAGCCCCCGGCUUAACCGGGGAGAGUCGUUGGGGACGGCGGGGCUUGAGGGCGGGAGAGGUCGGUGGAAUUCCCGGUGUAGUGGUGAAAUGCGUAGAGAUCGGGAGGAACACCUGUGGCGAAGGCGGCCGACUGGGCCGACCCUGACGCUGAGGCGCGAAGGCGUGGGGAGCGAACGGG
rnacentral:rRNA from 1 species